UACGUAGGGUGCAAGCGUUGUCCGGAAUACUGGGCGUAAAGCGUGCGCAGGCGGUUUUGUAAGUCUGUCGUGAAAGCCCCCGGGCUCAACCUGGGAAUUGCGAUGGAGACUGCAAGGCUUGAAUCUGGCAGAGGGGGGUAGAAUUCCACGUGUAGCAGUGAAAUGCGUAGAUAUGUGGAGGAACACCGAUGGCGAAGGCAGCCCCCUGGGUCAAGAUUGACGCUCAUGCACGAAAGCGUGGGGAGCAAACAGG
rnacentral:rRNA from 1 species